rnacentral:rRNA from 1 species
AAGUCGUAACAAGGUUUCCGUAGGUGAACCUGCGGAAGGAUCAUUACAUUUAGUAGCUUGCUACUGCUAAGAGGGUCUGUUAGGCUGUAUAGUAUUGCUACUGACGAGCAGCAUGAUCCUCUAAGUCAACCCUUGUCUUUUGCGUACCUACGUUUCCUCAGCGGGUAUAACCCGCUGGCUGGACAAAAUUAAAACCCUUGAAUAUUCAAUCAGUGUCUGAGAAACUUAAUAAUUACAACUUUCAACAACGGAUCUCUUGGUACUGGCAUCGAUGAAGAACGCAGCGAAAUGCGAUAAGUAGUGUGAAUUGCAGAAUUCAGUGAAUCAUCGAAUCUUUGAACGCACAUUGCGCCCCUUGGUAUUCCAUGGGGCAUGCCUGUUCGAGCGUCAUUUGUACCCUCAAGCUCUGCUUGGUGUUGGGUGUUUGUCUAUGCUUUUGCUUGGACUCACCUCAAAGCAAUUGGCAGCCAGUGUUUUGGCAUAGAAGCGCAGCACAUCUUGCACUUCCAGUCUUAAACACCAGCUUCCAGUAAGUCCCUUCACGUUUGACCUCGGAUCAGGUAGGGAUACCCGCUGAACUUAAGCAUAUCAAUAAGCGGAGGAAAAGAAACCAACAGGGAUUGCCUUAGUAACGGCGAGUGAAGCGGCAACAGCUCAAAUUUGAAAUCUGGCUCUCUUAGGGCCCGAGUUGUAAUUUGCAGAGGGCGCUUUGGUGUCGGCAGCGGUCCAAGUUCCUUGGAACAGGACGUCACAGAGGGUGAGAAUCCCGUACGUGGUCGCUAGCCUUUGCCGUGUAAAGCCCCUUCGACGAGUCGAGUUGUUUGGGAAUGCAGCUCUAAAUGGGAGGUAAAUUUCUUCUAAAGCUAAAUACUGGCCAGAGACCGAUAGCGCACAAGUAGAGUGAUCGAAAGAUGAAAAGCACUUUGGAAAGAGAGUCAAAUAGCACGUGAAAUUGUUGAAAGGGAAGCGCUUGCAGCCAGACUUGCCUGUAGUAGUUUAUCUAGACUUUUGUCUAGUGCACUCUUCUGCAGGCAGGCCAGCAUCAGUCUAGGCGAUUGGAUAAAGGUCUCUAUCACGUACCUCUCUUUGGGGAGGCCUUAUAGGGGAGACGUCAUGCAACCAGUCUGGACUGAGGUCUGCGCAUCUGCUAGGAUGCUGGCGUAAUGGCUGUAAGCGGCC